rnacentral:rRNA from 1 species
UACAGAGGGGGCUAGCGUUGUUCGGAAUUACUGGGCGUAAAGGGCGCGUAGGUGGCCUGCUAAGUCGAACGUGAAAUCCCCGGGCUCAACCCGGGGAACUGCGUCCGAGACUGGCAGGCUUGAAUCCGGGAGAGGGAUGUGGAAUUCCAGGUGUAGCGGUGAAAUGCGUAGAUAUCUGGAGGAACACCGGGUGGCGAAGGCGGCAUCCUGGACCGGUAUUGACGCUGAGGCGCGAAAGCCAGGGGAGCAAACGGG